rnacentral:rRNA from 1 species
UACGGAGGAGGCAAGCGUUAUCCGGAAUUAUUGGGCGUAAAGAGCUCGUAGGCGGUGUGUCACGUCGGCCGUGAAAACCUGCAGCUUAACUGUGGGCGUGCGGUCGAUACGGGCAUCACUGGAGUUCGGCAGGGGAGACUGGAAUUCCUGGUGUAGCGGUGAAAUGCGCAGAUAUCAGGAGGAACACCGGUGGCGAAGGCGGGUCUCUGGGCCGAUACUGACGCUGAGGAGCGAAAGCGUGGGGAGCAAACAGG